rnacentral:rRNA from 1 species
GUGCUUUUGCACAUUGGGUAGGGGAGCGUUCUGUAAGCGGUUGAAGGUGUGUGGUAACGCAUGCUGGACGUAUCAGAAGUGCGAAUGCUGACAUGAGUAACGAUAAAGGGGGUGAAAAACCUCCUCGCCGGAAGACCAAGGGUUCCUGUCCAACGUUAAUCGGGGCAGGGUAAGUCGACCCCUAAGGCGAGGCCGAAAGGCGUAGUCGAUGGGAAACGGGUUAAUAUUCCCGUACUUCUUACAAUUGCGAUGGGGGGACGGAGAAGGCUAGGUGGGCCUGGCGACGGUUGUCCAGGUUCAAGUGCGUAGGCUUAAGAGUUAGGUAAAUCCGGCUCUUUUUAAGGCUGAGACACGACGUCGAGCACCUACGGGUGUGAAGUCAUUGAUGCCAUGCUUCCAGGAAAAGCCUCUAAGCUUCAGAUUGUAAGGAAUCGUACCCCAAACCGACACAGGUGGUCGGGUAGAGAAUACCAAGGCGCUUGAGAGAACUCGGGUGAAGGAACUAGGCAAAAUGGUACCGUAACUUCGGGAGAAGGUACGCUCUUGAUGGUGAAGUCCCUCGCGGAUGGAGCUGACGAGAGUCGCAGAUACCAGGUGGCUGCAACUGUUUAUUAAAAACACAGCACUGUGCAA